AUGUAUGCUCGAUAGACUUGUUUUAUAGUGGCUCUAUAAUCAUUUUUCAAAAUCAUUUUUAGUUUACAUAAAGGUUGUUUAUCUACUGAAGCAGUUAAAUAACUCGAAUUAGAAUGUAUAUGCAUCGGAGAAUAGGCUAAAGACACUUUGAGUAUAUUUAGUUUAGAAACCCUAAAUUGUUUCCAGAAGUGAAAAUUGAAGACUACUUCAAACAAUGAAAAUAUCUUCCAUAAAGUAGUCUUCUAUUUCAUGAAAAUUAAAGCUUGGAUUCAAGCUUUAAUUUUUGCAUCUUUUUCAUCAUUUACCAAAUGAAUGAGAAUCUUAAUAAAACAGUUUUUACAAUCUCAAUUUUAAAUUGAAUUUAUUGAAUGACAAAGUACAGCAUUAAAGAUAUUCACUUCAAGCUUAUGUUUGUGGAACUCAUUGAAAAAAACUGCAUUUCCAGGUUCAUAGCGAUUUUGCUAUCACCAUUUGCUUCGCAAAUAAUACUGUUUCAUUACUAAAACGAGUCUUCUGCUUAUCAUAAGUCUAUAUUUUGGUUAAAGCUAAAGCAACUGCUUUAUAGCAAUAGUUAUUUUUCGUGGUUGUUUUGCAAUUAAUUUUGUAGCGGCAGUCUGAGCUGAACGUCUGGUUCCCGAAAGCUUAUAAUGCAAGAUCUUCUGUCAAGCGGAACUGCAGCCGUAAACAAAAAGAUCUUACAUUUUUAUUUAUUUAAUAAAGUAAAUAAUAAAAUUUUAACAUAAAAAGUUCAGUAUUGAUGAAGGAAAGCAACACCAGUCGUUUAUAUGCUGACAAUUGAUAUUGCUGCAGCCGAAGUAACAUCAUAAAAAUUCUUUCAAAAUAGUUAACUGUUGGUACAUUAAUUGCACCCUGCGCUAUUUUAUUCCAACUUUUUGCAACAUGGUUUUUAAAAAAGUGGUGACGUACUGGCAAUCUUUGAUUAGUUGAGGUUCUAAACAUGUCAUUUUUUUAAUUAUAAACUGAGUUUGAUGAAAAAGCUUAAACGGACCUACAUUUUUUAACUUGAUUUUAAACAUCCUUCUAAGUUCUUCAACAGCGCUUUUCUCUGGCCUGAUGGUUAUUAACUAAAACUUUUUGGAAAUACAAACAAAGCAAGAUAAUUAUUACUCACAUCAUCAAAUACAACUGCUGCUUUGUCUGUAGCGUCUGUACCUUCAUGUUCGUCAGCAUAGAGGGGCCUGGUGUAGCACCUCUUCAUCAAAUUAUAAAUGGAUUAUUGUAUUUGUAUUUGAUCACUGAAAUAAAUAAUAAUCAUAAUUAUAAA